rnacentral:lncRNA from 1 species
CCUGGUGAUGAACUCCAAUUAGAGUAGUAAGCUACUGAGAAAAAUUCUAUAUAUGCAUUAUGUAUUUUAUAUUUAAAAUAUAUCUCUAAGACAUGCUAGGGUUUGGAUGUUCAAUCGGGUUUAACUCUUGACUAGACUUGAACCAAACCAAAAACCCAUGCUUGAUCACAAUCAAGAUAAUAUUUUAAUCUUUUAUUAUA